UACGUGGGGUGCAAACGUUGCUCGGAAUUAUUGGGCGUAAAGCGCACGUAGGUGGUCUGUCAUGUCAGAUGUGAAAGCCCUCGGCUUAACUGAGGAAGUGCACCUGAAACUGGCAGGCUUGAGUACGAAAGAGGGUCGCGGAAUUCCCGGUGUAGAGGUGAAAUUCGUAGAUAUCGGGAGGAACACCAGUGGCGAAGGCGAGUCUCUGGGAUGAUGCUGACGCUGAGGCGCGAAAGCCAGGGGAGCAAACGGG
rnacentral:rRNA from 1 species